CCUAACCCACGGUCUCCUAGGCAUCAUCAUUACUAUCAUUUUUCUUCCUAAACAAGCUAGAAUUCCAUGAGAGAAAACCAAGACAACUUCCAUGAACACCUGAGCUUCAAUCUCCGUUCUUUCUCAAACUAAAACCUCUAUCAAAAAUCUAAUCCGACCAAAGUAUUCAUCUCUUCCUCCUCUUCAUUUCUAUGCCAAUCUUCAAAGAGUAAAUCAAGGAUCUCUUGUUCAACCACCAUAGGCUCUAAGUAAACGUGAUUUCUAGCUGCUUUAAGGCGUAAAAGUGCUUUUGGAAGCUUGUUUUUGGCUCAACUUUUGGCAGCAGCAAAGGAGGUAAGGUUUGGUAAAUUAAUCAAUGAUUGGCUGUGUU